rnacentral:rRNA from 1 species
UACGGAGGGUGCAAGCGUUAUCCGGAUUUACUGGGUUUAAAGGGGGCGUAGGUGGGCAGGUAAGUCAGUGGUGAAAUCUUUGGGCUUAACCCGAAAACUGCCAUUGAUACUAUUUGUCUUGAAUAUUGUGGAGGUCAGCGGAAUAUGUCAUGUAGCGGUGAAAUGCUUAGAUAUGACAUAGAACACCAAUUGCGAAGGCAGCUGGCUACACAUAUAUUGACACUGAUGCACGAAAGCGUGGGGAUCAAACAGG